GUGCUUCAGCAGCACAUAUACUAAAAUUGGAACGAUACAGAGAUUAGCAUGGCCUCUGCACAAGGAUGACGUGCAAAUUCGUGAAGCAUUCCAUAUUUGU
ensembl:snRNA U6 U6 spliceosomal RNA